UACGAAGGGGGCUAGCGUUGCUCGGAAUCACUGGGCGUAAAGGGUGCGUAGGCGGGUCUUUAAGUCAGGGGUGAAAUCCUGGAGCUCAACUCCAGAACUGCCUUUGAUACUGAAGAUCUUGAGUUCGGGAGAGGUGAGUGGAACUGCGAGUGUAGAGGUGAAAUUCGUAGAUAUUAGGAAGAACAUCAGUGGCGAAGGCGGCUCACUGGUCCGGUACUGACGCUGAGGUGCGAAAGCGUGGGGAGCAAACAGG
rnacentral:rRNA from 1 species